rnacentral:RNase_P_RNA from 1 species
GGAGUCGGCUCGGCAGUCGCUCUGGUGUUAACGAAUGGUCUCUCUUGAGUGAUCGUUGGUGCAUCGGGGAGGAAAGUCCGGGCUCCAUAGGGUAGAGCGCCAGGUAACGCCUGGGGGGUGUGAGCCCACGGAAAGUGCAACAGAGAGUAGACCGCCUAAGCGCUCGCAAGAGUGACGGUAAGGGUGAAAGGGUGCGGUAAGAGCGCACCGCGCAACUGGCAACAGGCUGCGGCAUGGUAAACCCCGCUCGGAGCAAGACCAAAUAGGCCCUCUAUGAUGCGACCCGUAUCGAGGGCGGGUAGGUUGCUUGAGGCUGAUGGUGACAUCAGUCCCAGAUGAAUGAUUGUCCACGACAGAACCCGGCUUACAGGCUGACUCCGACG